GACGAACGCUGGCGGCGUGCUUAACACAUGCAAGUCGAACGGAAAGGCCCUGCUUUUGUGGGGUGCUCGAGUGGCGAACGGGUGAGUAACACGUGAGUAACCUGCCCUUGACUUUGGGAUAACUUCAGGAAACUGGGGCUAAUACCGGAUAGGAGCUCCUGCUGCAUGGUGGGGGUUGGAAAGUUUCGGCGGUUGGGGUGGGCUCGCGGCUUAUCAGCUUGUUGGUGGGGUAGUGGCUUACCAAGGCUUUGACGGGUAGCCGGCCUGAGAGGGUGACCGGCCACAUUGGGACUGAGAUACGGCCCAGACUCCUACGGGAGGCAGCAGUGGGGAAUAUUGCACAAUGGGCGGAAGCCUGAUGCAGCAACGCCGCGUGCGGGAUGACGGCCUUCGGGUUGUAAACCGCUUUCGCCUGUGACGAAGCGUGAGUGACGGUAAUGGGUAAAGAAGCACCGGCUAACUACGUG
rnacentral:rRNA from 1 species